rnacentral:lncRNA from 10 species
UGCAGAUUGAGGGUGGAGUCCUGUGAUUUUCAGGCUCUUCAAGUUAACAAUACUUGCAAAGAUGAAGAUGGAAUUCUCUGUCAUCCAUGAAGGAAAGUUCAGUGAAAAUGGCAUUUUUAAGUAACUGUGAGUGCGUGGCAGUGAAGAAUUCAGUGACUACUGGGACAACUUGGCAUUGCAACCAUGAUUUGAGCUAAGGCACCAGUAAUUUUAUCCAUCAUUGCUUGUGCACCAUCAGGAAAAAUAUCAACACAGUGAAAAAGGCAAUGAUGUAUGAGUAUUAUAAAGAUAAAUUUAACUUCAUGAACUCCAUGAAGGGGUCUUGGGUACCCCCAUCUCUACCCUAGGUUUCAUCAUGGAACUUUGAGAAUUGUUGAUUUAGUUUUUAGUGUCGAACAAAUAUAUUUUAUUUUGAAAGGAUAAAAUCUCCUCUCCUUCUCCCUCUCCCUCUCCCUCUCCCCAUGGUCUCCCUCUCUUUCCAUGGUCUCCCUCUCAUGCGGAGCCGAAGCUGG